rnacentral:tRNA from 2 species
GCAGUCGUGGCCGAGUGGUUAAGGUGAUGGACUAGAAAUCCAUUGGGGUCUAAAUCCAUUGGGGUCUCCCCGCACAGGUUUGAAUCCUGUCAACUGCA